AGGUCCAUUCUAAUUCUCUGCAGGUCGGUGCCAGUACCUGCAGGGUUUCGCUUGUGGACCACAUUAAACUGGAAAACUUAAGCACGUAUGAGCUUACUGGUAGUAUGCUCAUGACGUAGUUUUCUGGACAUGU
ensembl:snoRNA small nucleolar RNA SNORA52